UACGUAGGGGGCAAGCGUUGUCCGGAAUUAUUGGGCGUAAAGAGCGUGUAGGCGGCCAGAUAAGUCCGCUGUGAAAUCUCGAGGCUCAACUUCGAGCUGUCGGUGGAAACUAUCUGGCUAGAGUCCGGAAGAGGAGAAUGGAAUUCCUGGUGUAGCGGUGAAAUGCGCAGAUAUCAGGAAGAACACCGACGGCGAAGGCAGCUCGCUGGGACGGUACUGACGCUGAGGCGCGAAAGCGUGGGGAGCGAACAGG
rnacentral:rRNA from 1 species